GAUGAAGAACGCAGCGAAAUGCGAUACUUGGUGUGAAUUGCAGAAUCCCGUGAACCAUCGAGUCUUUGAACGCAAGUUGCGCCCGAAGCCACUAGGCCGAGGGCACGCCUGCCUGGGCGUCACACGCCGUUGCCCCCCCAUCUACUCCUUCGGGAUUGCGGGGGGGCGGAUGAUGGCCUCCUGUGCGCCUAGCCGCGCGGUUGGCAUAAAUACCAAGUCCUCGGCGACGCACGCCACGACAAUCGGUGGUUGCGAAACCUCGGUUGCCCGUCGUGUGCGUUCGUCGCGCAUCGAGGGCUCGAAAAAAUGCUCGGCUCCGGCUGGGCUUUCAACGCGACCCCAGGUCAGGCGGGGUUACCCGCUGAAUUUAAGCAUAUCAAUAACGGAGGA
rnacentral:misc_RNA from 1 species